rnacentral:rRNA from 1 species
GACGAACGUUUGCGGCGUGCUUAACACAUGCAAGUCGAACGGAAAGGCCCUGCUUUUGUGGGGUGCUCGAGUGGCGAACGGGUGAGUAACACGUGAGUAACCUGCCCUUGACUUUGGGAUAACUUCAGGAAACUGGGGCUAAUACCGGAUAGGAGCUCCUGCUGCAUGGUGGGGGUUGGAAAGUUUCGGCGGUUGGGGAUGGACUCGCGGCUUAUCAGCUUGUUGGUGGGGUAGUGGCUUACCAAGGCUUUGACGGGUAGCCGGCCUGAGAGGGUGACCGGCCACAUUGGGACUGAGAUACGGCCCAGACUCCUACGGGAGGCAGCAGUGGGGAAUAUUGCACAAUGGGCGGAAGCCUGAUGCAACAACGCCGCGUGCGGGAUGACGGCCUUCGGGUUGUAAACCGCUUUCGCCUGUGACGAAGCGUGAGUGACGGUAAUGGGUAAAGAAGCACCGGCUAACUACGUGCCAGCAGCCGCGGUGAUACGUAGGGUGCGAGCGUUGUCCGGAUUUAUUGGGCGUAAAGGGCUCGUAGGUGGUUGAUCGCGUCGGAAGUGUAAUCUUGGGGCUUAACCCUGAGCGUGCUUUCGAUACGGGUUGACUUGAGGAAGGUAGGGGAGAAUGGAAUUCCUGGUGGAGCGGUGGAAUGCGCAGAUAUCAGGAGGAACACCAGUGGCGAAGGCGGUUCUCUGGGCCUUUCCUGACGCUGAGGAGCGAAAGCGUGGGGAGCGAACAGGCUUAGAUACCCUGGUAGUCCACGCUGUAAACGGUGGGUACUAGGUGUGGGGUCCAUUCCACGGGUUCCGUGCCGUAGCUAACGCUUUAAGUACCCCGCCUGGGGAGUACGGCCGCAAGGCUAAAACUCAAAGGAAUUGACGGGGCCCCGCACAAGCGGCGGAGCAUGCGGAUUAAUUCGAUGCAACGCGUAGAACCUUACCUGGGUUUGACAUGGAUCGGGAGUGCUCAGAGAUGGGUGUGCCUCUUUUGGGGUCGGUUCACAGGUGGUGCAUGCCUGUCGUCAGCUCGUGUCGUGAGAUGUUGGGUUAAGUCCCGCAACGAGCGCAACCCUUGUUCACUGUUGCCAGCACGUUAUGGUGGGGACUCAGUGGAGACCGCCGGGGUCAACUCGGAGGAAGGUGGGGAUGACGUCAAGUCAUCAUGCCCCUUAUGUCCUGGGCUUCACGCAUGCUACAAUGGCCGGUACAGAGAGUGGCGAGCCUGUGAGGGUGAGCGAAUCUCGGAAAGCCGGUCUCAGUUCGGAUUGGGGUCUGCAACUCGACCUCAUGAAGUCGGAGUCGCUAGUAAUCGCAAAUUAUCAACGCUGCGGUGAAUCGUUCCCCGGGCU